GAAGCCUACGGGGGGCAGCAGUGGGGAAUAUUGGGCAAUGGGCGCAAGCCUGACCCAGCAACGCCGCGUGAGUGAUGACGGCCUUCGGGUUGUAAAGCUCUGUCUUCAGGGACGAUAAUGACGGUACCUGAGGAGGAAGCCACGGCUAACUACGUGCCAGCAGCCGCGGUAAUACGUAGGUGGCAAGCGUUGUCCGGAUUUACUGGGUGUAAAGGGCGUGCAGCCGGAGAGACAAGUCAGAUGUGAAAUCCACGGGCUCAACCCGUGAACUGCAUUUGAAACUGUUUCCCUUGAGUGUCGGAGAG
rnacentral:rRNA from 1 species